ACUAUCAUCAAAGUACCUUAUAACAAACUAAUUUUUUAUAUAAAAAAUGAAGUAUCUCAUUUCUUGAUUAAAGUAUGAUGAAUUGAUAGCAGAUCAUCUCGUCAUGCACAGAAGGAAAGGGGAAAAGAAUUUACCCCUCUGUUGAAAAAACAUAUUCUAAUUGUAAAUGAAAAAGAAAAAUAUAUUAAAUGAUAGAAAUAAACAAAUUCCACCAUCAAUUUAAUAAUUGGACAGUCAACAAAGUAUGAAGUCGAAGGAAACUAUUUGGCAGUUAGAGAAAUAAAUCAUAUCAGCAAAUAACCAUACAGAGACUACACUAUAAGAUAGCAUUAGAUUAAUAUAAAAUAACAAGAUAGUACCAG
rnacentral:misc_RNA from 1 species